GAUGAACGCUGGCGGCGUGCCUAAUACAUGCAAGUCGAGCGAACAGACGAGGAGCUUGCUCCUCUGACGUUAGCGGCGGACGGGUGAGUAACACGUGGAUAACCUACCUAUAAGACUGGGAUAACUUCGGGAAACCGGAGCUAAUACCGGAUAAUAUAUUGAACCGCAUGGUUCAAUAGUGAAAGACGGUUUUGCUGUCACUUAUAGAUGGAUCCGCGCCGCAUUAGCUAGUUGGUAAGGUAACGGCUUACCAAGGCAACGAUGCGUGGCCGACCUGAGAGGGUGAUCGGCCACACUGGAACUGAGACACGGUCCAGACUCCUACGGGAGGCAGCAGUAGGGAAUCUUACGCAAUGGGCGAAAGCCUGACGGAGCAACGCUGCGUGAGUGAUGAAGGUCUUCGGAUCGUAAAACUCUGUUAUUAGGGAAGAACAAAUGUGUAAGUAACUAUGCACGUCUUGACGGUACCUAAUCAGAAAGCCACGGCUAACUACGUG
rnacentral:rRNA from 1 species